CGAAAGAACUGAGUAGCUGAGCAAGCUUUUUCUUUUUUAGAUCGUAGAGUUGAGAGUUUUGCGUUGAGGGUUCUUCAGCGUUUUGUUCAAUACUUGCUUAUUCUCUUUCAUCUACAGAUGUUUUGCAUAUAUGUGAUCCUUGAAAUGUAUCCAUUGAAGAUUCGUUGAAGCAUUAAAUGCAUUUGACAUUUCUAUAACUUUGAUGGAGACUUUUCUGCACAUCUUCUGAUUAGUAUUCUGGCCCACUGACACAGCAGACUGCCAUCUCACCUAACAUCUGAAAAGAUGUUUUACUCUGUCCUAUGAUACUUUUCUUAGCUUCUUUAAUACGUUUCUUUGUUGUAUACUAAGGAUAUCUUCUGUGUCAUUGGGACUGGCGAAGACUUCAACGUUUAUAACCUAUUCCACAUUUGUUGGGAUUUAUCUUUAAACAAAUAUGCAAGGUUCGAUGCUUCUGACAUAGAUGUAUGAUGCUCUACGAUUCUGAUCGUGGUGUCUUGCCACCUUGAUGCUUGAUCCGUUACUUAGCAAACAAGAGCACUACGAUUUCUCUUAAGGGCUUGGCACACUACGAUCUUCACUUGCUUGUCUUGUAGACUCUACAUUUUAGAGCGCACACUACGAUCUCUGAGUUGGCUCGGCAAGUGUUUGGACCACUCUACGAUUUCUGGAGAGGCACUUCAAGGUAGACAGACUACGAUCCUCGAUGCUUUACGAUUCUACCUUGGUUUCUGCAAACUCUCGAUUAGCUCAAUAGACUACGAUUUUGUUGAAGCCUAUCUAUUACAUAUCAAGACAUAAAUCAACCUAACAUCUUUGAUCUCCUCAUCAAUACAUUCAUUUACAAAAUGAUAAACAUUAAAAGCUUAGAUCAACUUAACAGAUUUGAUCUAUCACUAAGUCUUUGUACAUAUAUUCCUUGAAGGACUUUACAUAAAAUCAUGAGCAUUUACUUUAAACAUCAAAUCAAACUAUGUAGUUUCCCAACAAAGUCAAGUGAUUUGAUAUAAAUAAAGGGGUUUGCCAUGAAGUAUUUGUUGUAAAUUUGGUUUAUUACAUGGGCCCCCGCGUACUCAUUUUCCAAAAUCGUUGGUAGAAAGUUAUCUCAGUUUUUGUUUUAUAGUAAUAAAAUAGAAUAAUUUUUUCAAAUAGAAUAUAUUAUAUUUUAUGUUAUUGCAUAGUAAUGCAUAGUGUUUGCAUAGUGCUGCAUAAUAAAAUCAGACGAAUUUGUCGAAUUUGUCCGUGAUUCCUUACUGUUCACCCAUGAUUUUUUUGUCCUAAAUAGUAUCCUGACAUUCUCCUAUAAAUAGGAUGCUUAUUUUAGAAAUGAAAAUUACACCAUAAUCAGAGAAUUCUUCUUCUAUAAUAUUGAGCGUAUUUCUUUUGAGUUUAAGGAAACUUUGAGUGUGCAAAUAGUGCAAGUUUUCUUCAAGAAUAUCCCCGCUAUACCAGCCAGAAGUACUAUCUUUUUAAGGUAAGAGAUAUUAUUUUUGUUCAAUAUUCGUAAGAAAUAAUAUUUUUUCCAUACUUUAUAGUAUGUAAGUAAUAUUAUUUCAUUUAAUAUUCAUAAUUCUACACUUAUUUUGAUAAGUAUUGGUUCUAUACUCCUUGAAAUUAGUAGAAUAUCCUUGAAAUUUGCGCUUCACCUAGUAUCGUUUCACUGAAAUAUUUUUCUAAACAUUCUUGUUAAAUUUUAAGCUUUUCAUACUGGAGUACUAUUCAUACAUACGGUAUUAUUCAUACAUACGGUACUAUUCACGGGGUACUAUUUAUGAAGUACUAUUCACGAGGUACUAUUUAUGAAGUACUAUUCAUAGGGUACUAUUCACUCGGGUACUAUUCAUCCGAGGUACUAUUCACGCCAAAAAUUGAUUUUUUUUUUCUAUCCAAAUUAUUUUUGAUACAUGAAUAUUAUUCUUGAAUUUUAAUUCACAAAGUAGUUAUCAUGUUGACAAUUUGGACAUUCUUGAACUCUG
rnacentral:lncRNA from 1 species